CGGCGUAGCUCAGCUGGUAGAGCGGAGGACUGAAAAUCCUUAUGUCAACAGUUCGAUUCUGUUCGCUG
rnacentral:tRNA from 1 species